rnacentral:rRNA from 1 species
UGGGGAAUUUUGGACAAUGGGCGAAAGCCUGAUCCAGCAAUGCCGCGUGUGUGAAGAAGGCCUUCGGGUUGUAAAGCACUUUUGUCCGGAAAGAAAUCCUUGGCUCUAAUACAGUCGGGGGAUGACGGUACCGGAAGAAUAAGCACCGGCUAACUACGUGCCAACAGCCGCGGUAAUACGUAGGGUGCAAGCGUUAAUCGGAAUUACUGGGCGUAAAGCGUGCGCAGGCGGUUUGCUAAGACCGAUGUGAAAUCCCCGGGCUCAACCUGGGAACUGCAUUGGUGACUGGCAGGCUAGAGUAUGGCAGAGGGGGGUAGAAUUCCACGUGUAGCAGUGAAAUGCGUAGAGAUGUGGAGGAAUACCGAUGGCGAAGGCAGCCCCCUGGGCCAAUACUGACGCUCAUGCACGAAAGCGUGGGGAGCAAACAGGAUUAGAUACCCUGGUAGUCCACGCCCUAAACGAUGUCAACUAGUUGUUGGGGAUUCAUUUCCUUAGUAACGUGGCUAACGCGUGAAGUUGACCGCCUGGGGAGUACGGUCGCAAGAUUAAACUCAAAUGAAUUGACGGGGUCAUAGCUGUUUCCU